UUCCAACUAUCCACGUUUCCUUCGGAA
rnacentral:sRNA from 1 species